UAGGCAUGAUCUCUCUUCUCAAGGUGUUUUUGGUCAAGCAGAGAAGAAACUUAAAAUCGCCACCCUAGUUCCUUUGAAGAGAGUGGCGGACAGUCAAGACUACCUGGUUUUUGCUCCUCCCAAAUAAAUUAUCGUUCCAUGGCACAGUGGAUUCUUGCAUGCCUUUGCCCUCUCGAUCCCUAGAGAGCUGAUCUUAGACCGAUUCGCAACUCUGGCAGGCUGGAAUCCCCUCCGACGUUUCUCCUCAGCCAAUCCCGAUGCCGAUAACAUUUCACGGGCGGAUUCUCCACGGAGGCCCAACGUGACUGUAAUCCCAACACGUGAGCCGCACUCACAUUCUUUCCACGCUGGGCGAGGAUGAAAUCAAAGCCUCAAUUUGGACUUUAUCAUGUCACAAGAUUAAUAGUAAAAACGUUUUGAUCUAAUUGGGGGGUUUUGCCAGUCAGUCAGCUGAAAUGCAUCAAGUUGGAAGCCAUAUGGUGCCCGUGAUGAAUGAGGAGUAUUUGGUUGCUCCUUCACAUCCAUCAUAAAAUUCCCGUUUUGCUUAUAAUCCUCUAAUCUUGCAGCUAAAUGAAUGGGCACACAGUACAAUAGAUAACCAAGUCCAUACUUCUCAAAACUGCCACACGUUGCCAAGUUUAAUGAACUUCAAAAGGUAAAUGCCUUCUGUGGGCUUUAAACAUAUUUAGUUGCUCUGAAGGGAGUCCCGAGAGAAAUCUAGACCCUUUCCUUCAUGGACUAUCCCAAGAUCCCCUCAGAAUGCCUCAAGAUUUCCAUAUGGCGAGUGCCUCCUUGCCUCCAUGGGUCGCUCCACCCAAUCAAUAAAUUUACGUGAAGCUGUCAGGUCGGUGAAUAGGGCAAUGUUACGUCAGUGGGCAAUGACAAGGUCAAGGGUCAGGGAUAAACCCUUGCACGGACGAGAAGCGAAACAUGGAGACUGAAUGCCUCAAACUACUGGAUGAUCUCUGUGUUGCACAACACACAGCACCUCUCGACUGUAA